rnacentral:rRNA from 1 species
GACGAACGUUGGCGGCGUGCUUAACACAUGCAAGUCGAACGGUGAAGCGCCUUCCUUUUUGGUGGGUGUGGAUGAGUGGCGAACGGGUGAGUAACACGUGAGUAACCUGCCCCCUUCUUCUGGAUAACCGCAUGAAAGUGUGGCUAAUACGGGAUAUUCUGGGUCUGUCGCAUGAUGGGUCUGGGAAAGAUAUUGUUUCGGUGGGGGAUGGGCUCGCGGCCUAUCAGCUUGUUGGUGGGGUGAUGGCCUACCAAGGCGGUGACGGGUAGCCGGCCUGAGAGGGUGGACGGUCACACUGGGACUGAGACACGGCCCAGACUCCUACGGGAGGCAGCAGUGGGGAAUAUUGCACAAUGGGCGCAAGCCUGAUGCAGCGACGCCGCGUGAGGGAUGGAGGCCUUCGGGUUGUGAACCUCUUUCGCCAGUGAAGCAGGCCUGCCUCGUUUGUGGGUGGGUUGACGGUAGCUGGAUAAGAAGCGCCGGCUAACUACGUGC